AUGAAUAUGUGAUGAGCUAGCAUACGUGAUGAAUGUGCGAUGAGCUAGCAUACUUGAUAAAAUAUGUGAUGAGCUAGCAUAUGUAAUGAAUAUGUGAUGAGCUAGCAUAUGUAAUGAAUAUGUGAUGAGCUAGCAUAUGUGAUGAAUAUGUGAUGAGAUAUGGGUAAGUCGUACAGGUCACCAUAGGUGACUCCGACUUGCGUGCUAGUAUGAGUUAUUAAUCAUAUGAUUAUUUGAUAUUACUAAUGAGAUGCUGUGUUGUGGUAUAUUUAUGACUUUUCUGGAAAUUAUACAAGUGUGUAGCGAGGGCUUAUAAUUUUUUAUAUGGUUUCUAUUAA
rnacentral:lncRNA from 1 species